GAUGAACGCUGGCGGCGUGCCUAAUACAUGCAAGUCGAGCGAACAGACGAGGAGCUUGCUCCUCUGACGUUAGCGGCGGACGGGUGAGUAACACGUGGAUAACCUACCUAUAAGACUGGGAUAACUUCGGGAAACCGGAGCUAAUACCGGAUAAUAUAUUGAACCGCAUGGUUCAAUAGUGAAAGACGGUUUUGCUGUCACUUAUAGAUGGAUCCGCGCCGCAUUAGCUAGUUGGUAAGGUAACGGCUUACCAAGGCAACGAUGCGUAGCCGACCUGAGAGGGAGCUGGGACACACUGAAUGAGACACACGGCACAGACUCACACGAGGGACAGCUGGGGAGUCUUCCCCGCUAGGGGCGAACCCGACACGGCGAAACCCCGCGUGUGAGAAGAGGCUCUUCGGCUCGUAAAUCUCUUUUAUGGGGAAAAAAAAAAUGUGUAAGUAACUACGCACGUCUACACGGUACAAAAAGAGAAACCCGCGGCUAUCUGCG
rnacentral:rRNA from 1 species